rnacentral:tRNA from 1 species
GGAGAUGUAGCUCAAGGGUAGAGUAUUUGUCUCACAUUCACAAGGCCCUGGGUUGAACCCCAGCACCUCAA